GCAUUUUUGAGUUUAUUCCUACAGAACAGGCAACAUUCUUUCUAUUGGUUACAAUUUCCCCUCUGAAAUUCUCCUUUUGUCUAAAUUUUUGGUCCUGAGGUCUGAUACUUUUUCCAACGCCUGUACAUGGCCCACAUGGGGGACUCAGGGGCCUGCUCCAGAGCACACAGCAUCUUUAUAAAAUUUGUUAAGUUGUGAAAUUGUGAAUGCAAAAAGGCUUGCCAAACAAAAACAUGCUCAUGUUUUA